rnacentral:rRNA from 1 species
UGCAAGUCGAGCGGUAACAUUGAUAGCUUGCUAUCAGAUGACGAGCGGCGGACGGGUGAGUAAUGCUUGGAAAUCUGCCUGAUAGAGGGGGACAACCACGGGAAACUGUGGCUAAUACCGCAUAAUCUAUACGUAGCAGAGUGGGGGACCUUCGGGCCUCACGCUAUCAGAUGAGUCCAAGUGGGAUUAGCUAGUUGGUGAGGUAAGAGCUCACCAAGGCGACGAUCUCUAGCUGGUUUGAGAGGAUGAUCAGCCACACUGGAACUGAGACACGGUCCAGACUCCUACGGGAGGCAGCAGUGGGGAAUAUUGCACAAUGGGCGCAAGCCUGAUGCAGCCAUGCCGCGUGUGUGAAGAAGGCCUUCGGGUUGUAAAGCACUUUCAGUCGCGAGGAAGGGCUAUUAGUUAAUAACUGAUAGCAUUGACGUUAACGACAGAAGAAGCACC